UGAUCAUGCCCAAAAAAAAUUGCUAUGCUGGUCGCCCUCUUCCACCAUUUUUGCUCAUUAAAAAAUAAUAAAAUAAACAAGCCGACCUUAUUUGUUCAAAAAACUUGGUUCAAUAACUUAACUUGGCGUGUUUAUGAAACAAGUCGAUAUGGAGUAGCUUAAUUUUUUAUACUUAGCGUAUUUAUGAGAAGAGUCGAUCUAGAGUAGCUUAAUUUUUUUCAUAUUCAAACAAGCAGAGUAACUAUUUAUUCAACUUUGGUUUGAAAACUUAAUGAGUUUUAAAAAAGAUGUUCAAACUCGAUCUGUUCAUGUAACAAAUCGGUCUUCAAGGAGUUUUUAACAAACGAACACAAACUCCAACUCAACUAGCUUGGUUCAUUUAUCAGUCCAGUUUGAGUAGCCAUUAUUAUCAUCACGAUCCCCAUCUCAGCCAUUCAUGGCUAUUACGGCCAAACAAACGGAGCCAAUUCCGCAAGUUAAUCUUCCAAAAAGGGUAAACUAGCAGUUAAGAUUUUGAAGUAGAGAUGUCAUAGAACCCUAAGUACAAAGGAAACGUUUUGAUCAAUUUGGCCCAAGAUUCCGGGUUUGCCUGCGUGGAUUAACAAGUUGAUUCUCACCCCACCGCUAACCACCACCACCUCGUGCCAUCUGCCACCCUUCCUCGCCGUCACUGUAUCUGAAAUACUUAUCACAACUCACUUCUGGGAUACCAUACAACAAAACAUUUUGGUUGUUUUGGUGUACCAUUGACAGACUAGCGUUAAUGUCACCUGCAGGAGAAGAUCAACAAAAAAUGUUAAUACCUUUCAUGGAACCAUGACUCUAAUUUUAUCACCAUUCCCUUGGGAAGUUUUCUCUCAACCACACACCUCAGAUUAACAAGAUCUAAAGAAGAUGAAAGGUGAUCCAAUUGUUAUAUUCCGAAUACUUCAUCAUCCACCAAACCACAGUAACCAAAUGUAUAUGUAGUAGUAAGUAAAUAACAGGACUAGGUAAACAAAACACAGGUUAUAUACAAGAACUUGAGCUGGGUUUUAAUUGCAGUUCAAGCCCGCGUCAAAAGCUCUCAAUCAGAAAUAACAUACACUGUUCAUCCUGCCUCCUAUCGAGAGAGAUUUGAUGCAGGCAAAAAUUUGGCAGCAUUGUCUAAGUAACAACUCAUCAAAGCAUUGGUUGAUCAGCCAAAGGAUGUUAUCCCUUUCACAAUAAUAGCCAAACCGGCCACGAAUACUCUGACUCAGAACAGCAGCAAGGGCAAGCUGCAAGUCCACAUAAUUAACAUGAAGUCACAGGCUGCAUCUUCUCAUGAAUUGCCUUGUAGCAUUGAAGGCUGCAGAGGGGGACUUUUGACUUGGAAUCCCGGUACUUG